GACGAACGCUGGCGGCGUGCUUAACACAUGCAAGUCGAACGAUGAAGCCGGAGCUUGCUCCGGUGGAUUAGUGGCGAACAGGUGAGUAACACGUGAGCAAUCUGCCCUUGACUCUGAGAUAACUGCGGGAAACUGUAGCUAAUACCGGAUACGACACCUUGGGGCAUCCCAGGGUGUGGAAAGAAUUUCGGUCAAGGAUGAGCUCGCGGCCUAUCAGCUAGUUGGUGAGGUAAUGGCUCACCAAGGCGACGACGGGUAGCCGGCCUGAGAGGGUGGCCGGCCACACUGGAACUGAGACACGGUCCAGACUCCUACGGGAGGCAGCAGUGGGGAAUAUUGCACAAUGGGCGAAAGCCUGAUGCAGCAACGCCGCGUGAGGGAUGAAGGCCUUCGGGUUGUAAACCUCUUUUAGCAGGGAAGAAGCGAAAGUGACGGUACCUGCAGAAAAAGCACCGGCUAACUACGUGCCAGCCGCCGCCGUAA
rnacentral:rRNA from 1 species